rnacentral:rRNA from 1 species
CCCUUAGAUGUCCUGGGCCGCACGCGCGCUACACUGAUACGUGCAACAAGUACAUCCUGAUCCGGAAGGAGACGGGUAAUCUUUAUAGUACGUAUCGUGCUGGGGAUAGAUCUUUGCAAUUUUGGAUCUUGAACGAGGAAUUCCUAGUAGGCAUAAGUCAUCAGCUUGUGCCGAUUACGUCCCUGCCCUUUGUACACACCGCCCGUCGCUCCUACCGAUUGAAUGGUCCGGUGAAGCGUUCGGACCGUGGCCUUUGGACGGUUCGCCGUCUGUUGGCUGCGGGAAGUUCGUUAAACCUUAUCAUUUAGAGGAAGGAGAAGUCGUAACA